AAGAGCGCAGAAAGGAAGUUGUAGACUGGUAACAUCUGUUCCCUACAGUCGCUCUUCAUUUCUACACUGCAAAAUGACCAACUGAAGAACUUCCGGGCACCCCGAAACAAAAUUUCUCCGGACGUGUUCCGAUGUGAUGUGACUCCUAAUUUGUCAACAUAUGAUUUGAUCACAAAUUCGUGUUGAGGAUUCCCUGUAGACCAAAUUUUGUCGUUAAACUUAAAUUUUUAUUCUAUUGACACUCAGAAAUCUAUUGCUGUAUACUGCACAAUGCUCACGUUGGAUAUUUUUUGAACCGCUGGGGGAAAAAAAAAGGUCAGUCGAUGGGAUAUAACAUUUGAAGAGUAUAGGCCUUUACUUAGUUCGAUUAUAAUCCUCCGCUUUCAAAACCAUGGCGUAAUUGUGGAAAUUUUCAUAGCAAACCAUAGUAGUACCGGUAGACCAUUUAAAAAAUGUGAAUUUAUUGAUUACCAGAUCGGACUAAAUGAAAGGAUAAUAAGAGGACAAGACCGACAUGUAAAACGGAGGGUUACUCGUCUAAGGUUUACAACUGAAACAGCAAAAGCGUUGAGCCCAAGUGUUAAGCAGUUGGGGGCCUUCAAAUAUAGUGGGCUAUUUCGAGCGUAAAAACGAGGAUUUCGUCACUAAACGUUACGUGCUGAUGAACUCUAACCGCCCUCCGGCAGCCAGCAUCCUCCGCGACAUAAGUAUCAAUGACAUGGCUGAUGUCAUGCUGUAUGACGUAUACCAAAUGGUCUUAUACUUCUCACACUAUGAUUUAGAAGGACACGGACACUGGCUUUGAAAAAUGUAUCACAAUGUGCUAGUACCGAAUACUUAAACAAUGGCAUGACCAUACUGAGAAAAACCCAGACUGAGCAAGUGGUGCAAUUGCGCAAUGGGAUAGAAGUAACGUUAUUGGGCAACAGACGUAGCACGGCAACACAACUUUGAUCAUAAAUGACUCCGAAUGAUCCCUUUGUUACUUCGUUUUCAUUUUCAUCAACGCUAUUUUUAGACACUAUUUAAAAUAUUAAAAUUUGCAUUUUAAUAUUCACAGAAAUUAUUAAGUUUAAAAUAUUAAGACGCAGUUUCAAAUUCAAAUUUGAUUCGAAUUUUCUAAAUAAGAAUUAGAUUUACACUGGAUUUACACUUAAAUAUAAAAAUACUGCUCCAAUGCAGAUUUCUCCUUGGAAAUCUUAACCAUAGUAAAGUGUUAGUUAAAACUCAGGAAAAUAAACUUUUCAAAAUCUUCUCGACCGUUCCCUCUGUUAAUACCAGUAAAUAAAUUCAUAAAAGGGUGAGUCACAGUA